UCCUUUUUAACCUAGAAGUUGGAAAUAUAAACAGAAUGAAAGGAGAGAGCUGUCGUUAGUUGAGGGUCUGCUGUAUAGGUGUUAUGCCUACAUCAUCUUACUUAAUCCUCAGAGCAAUCCCAUACAACAAUUUUGUUUUUCAGAUGAGACCUGUAAGAGUUAAUGGACUUAUUAGGACCACAUUGGUGGUAACUGACAGGUCAGAGAAGCCCCAGCAAGAUGAUAGGCACUGGAGCGGUGGCUGCAUGGUGCUGGAGGGACUUUGAGGAGAUACCCCACAUCCAAGGGCAAAGGAGAAGACCCAGCAACAUGUGCAUUCUUCAUGGAAGAGCCUUGAACUGGAGAAUGGUUGAAAGUCACCAUGCUGGAGCCCCAGCAACUACACAGGUGAAGGUACCACCAAUUCAUUCUCGCUGCAUGACCCCAUGGAGAGCUGGAGCCUUCAUGUUCAAAGAAAACUCUUUGAAUUGAGUCCACUAAGACUUCCCUCCAAGGAUACAGAGCUCUUUUUCGACCUCAAGAGCAGAGGGAACCUGCCUCUGUUGAUUCACCUCCGUCAUUCACUUGAAAGAAACCCUGAAUGGAGUAGCUGCCAGCUGGAGGGCCAGCCAAAAGGUCACCAGGGAUUCUGUGUAGCCUGAGAUACUCAGCUGGGGGGACUCAUCUCUGCCUCCUGAACUCACCUGGACUGAUUGAUUCAGUGUGUAAUCUUGUGCCAUUUUUCAUGAACCAGACAGAAUAGCUGAUACUCUCAGGAAGACAUGGGUUCAGCAGAUGCAAGAACGAGACCUCUGGAGAGUGACGUCAGCACGAUGCUGACAUAGGCGGCUUCUGACUCUGCUGUCCCUCAGGAGAACUGCUGACAGCUAUUUAUGAACAAGACACCCUGAGAAAAUCUUGAAACAUGGGAGCAUGACCCUGAAGCACCCCGCUGCGCCGCAGAGGCUGACAGGCUACAUUCCAAGAUAAGAGAAGCGGCAGCAGGCUCAGCGCUCUGCCCCUGUUGUGGCCAGCACAGACCACAUGGUGAGCUCUGCUCUGAGCCUCUGGGGCCUGGGGGCGCGAGCCAGCCCCUAGCCCUGCGGGCCGCAUUGAGGGAGUCCCUACCGACGCUGGUCUCGCUCCAUGGGGACUACAGGGGAAUCUAUGAUGGAGACUUCCAGGAAGGGGUGGAUCCAGGAUUAUGAGGCCUGUAAAUUAUACCAUUUUAUAUCUUACAAAAAAAGAAAAACAAAAUUACAAAUACACAAAAUCAGGUGUGAAAAUGAUUAUUUGUUUAGGCUGACCCAAGAGAUAGCAAUAAAGUACACAUAUUUAAAAACUGACAGAUAACACAAAUAUCACUAAAUCUCAAAAAACUAUUUGUAUUAUUUAACCAUGGGUUCAGUCCCUGGUUGAGAAGAUCCCCUGGAGAAGGAAAUGGCAGCCCACUUCAGUAUUCUUGCCUGGG